GACGAACGCUGGCGGCGUGCUUAACACAUGCAAGUCGAACGGAAAGGCCCUGCUUUUGUGGGGUGCUCGAGUGGCGAACGGGUGAGUAACACGUGAGUAACCUGCCCUUGACUUUGGGAUAACUUCAGGAAACUGGGGCUAAUACCGGAUAGGAGCUCCUGCUGCAUGGUGGGGGUUGGAAAGUUUCGGCGGUUGGGGAUGGACUCGCGGCUUAUCAGCUUGUUGGUGGGGUAGUGGCUUACCAAGGCUUUGACGGGUAGCCGGCCUGAGAGGGUGACCGGCCACAUUGGGACUGAGAUACGGCCCAGACUCCUAAGGGAGGCAGGAGUGGGGAAUAUUGCACAAUGAGCGGAAGCCUGAUGCAGCAACGCCGCGUGCGGGAUGACGGCCUUCGGGUUGUAAACCGCUAUCGCCUGUGACGAAGCGUGAGUGACGGUAAUGGGUAGAGAAGCACCGGCUAACUACGUG
rnacentral:rRNA from 1 species